rnacentral:sRNA from 1 species
GCCAGGCAUGGUGGUGCACGCCUGUAAUCCCAUUAACUUGGAAGCUGAGGCAGGAGGAUCACAAGUUCAAAUCCAGCCUCAGCAAAUUAGCAAAGCCUUAAGCAACUUAGAAAGACCCUGUCUCUA